rnacentral:lncRNA from 1 species
UUCUGGCUGUUUUUUAGGAGGAGAGAAAAAGAAUUGAAAAGGAGAGAGAAAUUUUAUUUAUUUGAUUACAUUAAAAUAGUAACUGCUUUGACUAAUAUGAUGAACAUUUACACUAAUUAUAGUUCUUAAAAUUACAGUCCUGGUAUAUAUCAUACAAAUCAAAAUGUGAUACAGCAAACACUAACCCCCCUCUCUUUAUGUUCUGGUGACAUCUAUUAAGUCCCCAGCUGCUCUAAUCUUGAGGUAAUAAAAGGUUAAAGGAGAUGAAGGCAUUAGGUGAGAACCUAUAAGUGGGACAGAAUAAGAAAGGAAGGAAGAUUCAUUUGUCUGGGAUCUUGGGUUGUGGGGGAAGAAGUGUCUCCAGCUGAUGAAUUAUAAGGGUGCCUGCAUUUGAGACGGGGGCCUGUGGACCACACUCAGUAAACUCAGGAUGUUUUCUCCUCUCAGUUUUGCNNNNNNNNNNNNNNUGUGUAUAAAUUUACUUCUGAGUGUUUUAUGGUAACACUUGGACCUCUCCGUGGAAUUACAGUUUCUAUCAUUCAAGGGAACCUGCUGUUCACUAUUUAGAUAAAUUUAAGGCAUUUACUUUUCUGAAAUCGAGAUGCUUUUAUCCUUACUGAUAUUUUUAAAAUUAGAGAUAAUCUAAGAGGAAUUUAUUGAAGAUCGAAUAAGCUAAAUAUAUGGAAAGCAACUGGAUGAGGCAAACAUGAUAACUGCUACACUCCGGAAACGCCAUAAUGGAAAGCAAGUGGAUAGAAGGUUGUCCAGGAAUGGUAAAAAGUGGCUAAACGGGGACUUCCCUGGUGAUCCAGUGGCUAAGACUCUGUGCUCCCAAAACAAGGACAGGGAGAUGGCUCUUUUCUCUUGUGGAUUUCUCAUGAAAUUUUUCCCCGAGAAAAUGAUAUUUAAGCUGGGAUAAAAAGAUGAAUAGGAGUUAGCCAGGUAUAAAAGCGAGAAGAUUGUUCCAGGUAGGUAGAGCGGUGAGUUCAGAGUGCAGACAGGAAGCCGCUGUGG